AUUGAACGCUGGCGGCAGGCCUAACACAUGCAAGUCGAACGGUAACAGGAAACAGCUUGCUGUUUCGCUGACGAGUGGCGGACGGGUGAGUAAUGUCUGGGAAACUGCCUGAUGGAGGGGGAUAACUACUGGAAACGGUAGCUAAUACCGCAUAACGUCGCAAGACCAAAGAGGGGGACCUUCGGGCCUCUUGCCAUCGGAUGUGCCCGGAUGGGAUUAGCUAGUAGGUGGGGUAACGGCUCACCUAGGCGACGAUCCCUAGCUGGUCUGAGAGGAUGACCAGCCACACUGGAACUGAGACACGGUCCAGACUCCUACGGGAGGCAGCAGUGGGGAAUAUUGCACAAUGGGCGCAAGCCUGAUGCAGCCAUGCCGCAUGUAUGAAGAAGGCCUUCGGGUUGUAAAGUACUUUCAGCGAGGAGGAAGGGAGUAAAGUCAAUACCUUUGCUCAUUGACGUUACCCGCAGAAGAAGCACCGGCUAACUCCGUGCCAGCCGCCGCGGUAA
rnacentral:rRNA from 1 species